AUAUGUAGCUAAAUGUUUGUACACUGUUGCAUUGGGGAAUAAUGAUUACUUCAACAACUACUUGUUGCCAGAAUAUUAUCCUACAAGCCACCUAUAUACUCCAAGAGAAUUUGCCAGCUUGUUAAUUAGGCAUUAUUCUCAGCAACUACGGACUUUGUACAGAUUGGGGGCAAGAAAAAUAGCUGUUUUUCGGAUUGGUUUGCUUGGUUGCAUACCUGCUGAGUUAUCUACAGAUGGUAACUGUGUGGAUUCUAUUAACGAUGAAGUUCUGUAUUCAAUGACAAGCUCAAGCCACUGGCUGAUGAACUGAAUACCGAAUUAAGCGAUGCACAAUUUCUUUAUGUAGAUGUGAGAGCAAUCAAUUUGAACAAUUUUUCCACCCCUGCAGAAAUUACAAUUGGCAAUGCACCAUGCUGCAAGGUGUCUGCAACAGUUGCUGGUGGACAGUGUAUUCCUGGACAAAUUCCCUGCAGCAACAGGAACCCAUAUUAUUUUCGGGAUGAUUUCCAUCCCAUUGA